AGUCGCAGCCAGCCAGAGUUUCGUACGGUGAAUCGAACGCAUCCAACUGCAUAAGCAUUUCGUGACCGGACCGAUGCGGAUCCAGAAACCAGGUACAGCCGGAAACAAACCCCGUUUGGCUGUAAAACCAGCAUCAUCCCCGUGACGAGUCGUGACGCGGUCCACCAAACACGAACAAGAAGCGGUACCGUCCGGGCACCAUUAAAAACAGCAUUAUCGCGGCUGCCGUGUGCGUGUGUGUGUGAGAAAUUGGUGUGAGUGCGUGUGUGUGUGUGUACCAUAAAGAAUGCCUAAACGUAGCUUGAUAAGUCUUAUCGCUAAUUUUUAACGGUGGCUGUGCGUAGCAAAAAAAAAAUGAAGGGAAUGCUUAAAUGCACCCGGUGUCCUUACGUGUGUGUGUGUGUGUGUGUGUGAUCAGUGUUGGAUGUAAAUUUUCCUACCGGGCUGUGUGAGUGCAAGUGUUCUCCUUCUCACUUAUAGUAUCUACCCCUCAAAAGGCUCAUAAAUUGGUGUCGUGUUGAAGCUU